rnacentral:rRNA from 1 species
AACGAACGCUGGCGGCAGGCUUAACACAUGCAAGUCGAGCGCCCCGCAAGGGGCGCGGCAGACGGGUGAGUAACGCGUGGGAACGUACCUUUUGGUUCGGAACAACUCCGGGAAACUGGAGCUAAUACCGGAUAAGCCCUAACGGGGAAAGAUUUAUCGCCGAAAGAUCGGCCCGCGUCUGAUUAGCUAGUUGGUGAGGUAACGGCUCACCAAGGCGACGAUCAGUAGCUGGUCUGAGAGGAUGAUCAGCCACACUGGGACUGAGACACGGCCCAGACUCCUACGGGAGGCAGCAGUGGGGAAUAUUGGACAAUGGGCGCAAGCCUGAUCCAGCCAUGCCGCGUGAGUGAUGAAGGCCUUAGGGUUGUAAAGCUCUUUUGUCCGGGAAGAUAAUGACUGUACCGGAAGAAUAAGCCCCGGCUAACUUCGU